rnacentral:rRNA from 1 species
CAGUCGCCACGGUAAUACGGAGGGGGCUAGCGUUGUUCGGAAUUACUGGGCGUAAAGGGAGCGUAGGCGGACAUUUAAGUCAGGGGUGAAAUCCCAGAGCUCAACUCUGGAACUGCCUUUGAUACUGGGUGUCUUGAGUGUGAUAGAGGUAUGUGGAACUCCGAGUGUAGAGGUGAAAUUCGUAGAUAUUCGGAAGAACACCAGUGGCGAAGGCGACAUACUGGAUCAUUACUGACGCUGAGGCUCGAAAGCGUGGGGAGCAAACAGGAUUAGAUACCCCAGUAGUCCCUGUCUCUUAUAC